rnacentral:rRNA from 1 species
AUUGAACGCUGGCGGCAGGCCUAACACAUGCAAGUCGAACGAGUGGCGGACGGGUGAGUAAUGUCUGGGAAACUGCCCGAUGGAGGGGGAUAACUACUUGAAACGGUAGCUAAUACCGCAUACCAUCUUAUGUGCCCACUUGGGAUUAGCUUGUAGGUGAGGUAACGGCUCCCCUAGUCCCCGCUCCCUAGCGGGUCUGAGAGGAUGACCCGCCACAAUGGAACGGAGACACGGUCCAGACUCCUACGGGAGGCAGCAGUGGGGAAUAUUGCAAAAUGGGCGCAAGCCUGAUGCAGCCAUGCCGCGUGUAUGAAGAAGGCCUUCGGGUUGUAAAGUACUUUCAGCGGGGAGGCGUUACCCGCAGAAGAAGCACCGGCUAACUCCGUGCCAGCAGCCGCGGUAAUAC